GACUACAGGGGUAUCUAAGCCUGUUUGCUACCCACGCUUUCGUACCUCAGCGUCAGUUUUAGUCCAGGGAGCCGCCUUCGCCACUGGUGUUCCUUCAGAUCUCUACGCAUUUCACCGCUACACCUGAAAUUCCACUCCCCUCUACUAAACUCUAGUUGCCCAGUAUCAAAUGCAGUUCCCAGGUUAAGCCCAGGGCUUUCACAUCUGACUUAAACAACCGCCUACGCACGCUUUACGCCCAGUAAUUCCGAUUAACGCUUGCACCCUCCGUAUUACCGCGGCUGCUGGCACGGAGUUAGCCGGUGCUUCUUGUAUAGGUAAUGUCAGUCUACCGGGUAUUGGCCGGUAGGUAUUCCUUCCUAUUGAAAGUGCUUUACAACCCUCAGGCCUUCUUCACACACGCGGUAUUGCUGGAUCAGGCUUUCGCCCAUUGUCCAAUAUUCCCCACUGCAGCCGCCCGUAGG
rnacentral:rRNA from 1 species